UACAGAGGGUGCAAGCGUUGUUCGGAAUUAUUGGGCGUAAAGCGCGUGUAGGCGGCUUUGCAAGUCGGGUGUGAAAGCCCUCAGCUCAACUGAGGAAGUGCGCCCCGAAACUGGCAGGCUAGAGUACUAAAGAGGGUCGCGGAAUUCCCGGUGUAGAGGUGAAAUUCGUAGAUAUCGGGAGGAACACCGGUGGCGAAGGCGGCGACCUGGGUAGAUACUGACGCUGAGGUGCGAAAGCGUGGGGAGCAAACAGG
rnacentral:rRNA from 1 species